rnacentral:lncRNA from 1 species
UUUUUUUUUUUUUUUUUUUUUUUUUUUUUUUUUUUUUCAGGUGGAGUCUCGCUCUGUCGCCCAGGCUGGAGUGCACUGGCGCAAUCUCGGCUCACUGCAAGCUCCGCCUCCCGGGUUACGUCAUUCUCCUGCCUCAGCCUCCCGAAUAGCUGGGACUACAGGCGCCCACCACCACGCCCGGCUAAUUUUUUGUAUUUUUAGUAGAGACGGGGUUUCACCGUGUUAGCCAGGAUGGUCUCCAUCUCCUGACCUCGUGAUCUGCCCGCCUCGGCCUCCCAAAGUGCUGGGAUUACAGGCAUGAGCCACUGCGCCCGGCCGUACUUCCUUUUUUAAACUAGACUUUUGCUAACCCAAAUGAUUCUUUUUUUUUCUUUUUUGAGAUGGAGUCUCACUCUGUUGCCCAGGCUGAAGUGCAGUGGAAUGAUCUCGGCUCACUGCAACCUCUGCCUCCCAGGUUCAAGCGAUUCUCCUGCUUCAGCCUCCUGAGUAGCUGGGAUUACAGGUUUAUUUGCAAGAUGGGUUUGAGGGAAUUAAGGAUAAAGUCUGCUGAAAGUAGCACCAGCCUCUGGAUUAAAAGGGAUGUUUGGAUGAAGCUUCAAUCUCAAGAAGAGGCAAGAGAAAACUAAAGAAAAAGGUACUAGAUUCUGAGGUCUGAGACUAAAGUCAUUCCAUCAUGAGUUCCAAACUGGACUUGAGAGGGGAAGAAUCAUUUCCUUUGAGAUUGACCAAUACCAGGAGUUUCACUAAAGAAGGCAAUGAAAGACCCACAGCCUUGGACAUAAUUGAUUUCCUGUGAUAUCUGUGUGGGCCCAGGCAUGCUGCUCACCUGGGUCUUUCCCCUCUUUCACUCCUUUGGAACUGCCCCACCACUAACCACUUUCCUACUCUCUCCUUCCCCACCCCAGUAUCUCCUUGCCUCAAGAGUUUCCUGUUACUAGCAAUAAUUUAGUUCACUCCCAGGGAACUACUAUUUCUGGUUCUCAGUUACUAACCUUUCCAUUCAGUUCUUUCCAUUCCAUUUUUACCAGAAUUAACGUUUCCUCAUCUUUCCCAGUGAAUGUAAAAGGUACCUUCUGGGAAGCAUUUUACCGGAACUGAUGACUGCUAUGCUUGACAGCAGCUUCAACAGCCUCGGAUACAACUCAUCAUGAAUUAGCUCUGGCAUGACUGAGUUAGAAUACUGUUCUGUUUCCUAUCUCUACAUGUAGGAAAAAUUUAAAGUGGCAUUUCUAUGCUUUGGUCUUUUCUCAUAAAUGACUUAGGGGAAAACACUUAAUGAGGAUGAGUAACUAAAAUUCAAUGAAUACUAAAAGCUUUAUAAGAAUCAUCUAAUUGAAACUUUACAUAAUUUCCUUAUUAUGUAUUAACAUUGAACGGGCAUUAUGCAUUCCAUUUCUAGAAAAGAAGUCUUUCCUUAAUAAAUUACAAGUGCAAACAUGAAGUCCAGGACAAUUUUUACUUCAAGAUCAACUUGUCUAUAUGCUAGGAUAAUGAAUUUGAAUACUCUUUACUGAUGUUCCCUGAAGACGUAGCUAUUUUGUUUUCUAUAAUGAUAUUAUUUUCUUGAGUCUCCAUUCUGUUGGGUACUGUAGAAAGAAGACAAAAAGCAAACAAUAUAAUAUACCAAUUAAAGGUAUCUUAGUUUUUUUACAGUAUAAAUGGUCUCUGUUAACUUAAAAUGAUCUUUCCAGGUAAAUAUUUAAUUAAUUUGAAGUUCUACCUUAUAUCAGAGUGGUAUAUUUCUUUUUCUUCCUUAUCAACAGGGCUUCUGGGCAUAAGACAAAACCUGAUAGUACUGACUUGUGGGGCUUUGAAUGGAUAUGUAGAAUCACUCUUGUUUUGUGCUGGUCCUGGUGCUGGCUUCUGCAGCUGGACAACCACUCGAAUCUUUGCUUAUUCACGUGGCAGGUUUCUGUUGAGACAUAGUUUAUGUGGAUCCAACCUGUGUCAUCCACUGUUGGAGGCUGUGGCCAAGGAACCCAUGGACUGUUUGUUGUCUUGGCUUUGUCAAGGCUUGGUGGCCAUCUUCUUGUUGAAAUGGUCCCACUUCUGGUUUUCCAAUGCUGUGAUUCCCCCAAACACACACACAUCACCUCCCAGACAUGACUGAUUUCUUCUGGAGCCCUGAGUUGGGAAGUCCAUUCUGUAGCUCUCAGUGAUAUGGCCACAUUUUCUCCACCAAGCUGAUCCCCUCUGGCAUGUUCUUUGGUUGAGCUCCCAGCUGCUUCCUGUAUCUGCACCUCCCAUUCGAGACAAACAGGAACUUGAGGCAUGAAUUCCAUAUUCUAGGGAGCCAGGAGCAUGCUCAGAUUGGCUUGCCUGCCAUCCUCUUUCACUGCUGCUUUUCUAUCGUCCCUCAACAUCUUUGGAGUUUCUAGGUCACCCUGAACAACAGUCUCUUGGUAGGGCUCUAAAUGGGGAUCAGGAAAGUAUUUCCACCUUUGGCCUCUUCUUAUCCUAUCUCUUCAUCCUCAGGGCCUCAGUCCCUUGGAGGGCUGUUUAGAACACAUAUAUUUGAAUGUCUGCUUCUUCUACCUUUCUCUUCCUUUAUUUAUUCCCAAGUCUGUGUCAGAAAGAGAAGGUUUUGCCCUCUCAUGAAAUGGAAGAUUUCCCUUAUGUCAUAUCCUGAGUUCCCUAGUUUAUCAAAAUCUCAGUGUUCAAAUCCAAAGGUUGUGGGUUUUGAUGUAGGUGCCUCAGGGCUUCAGAAAUUUGGAAUUAAUAAAGAAAAUAUAGAUUGA